rnacentral:lncRNA from 1 species
AUGAAAGCUGGAUGAAAAUGAAAUGUACUUUGCAUUGACAAAUGACUUUACCUCUUCCAUUUCACAAAUUCUUUUUUACUAUAAAUGAUUUAUCUAUAAUAAAUAUAGAAUAAUUCUAUUCACACGUUAUGACAGAAGAAGAACCUAGAAUCUAUGGAACUUCGAUACGGAUAUAGAAAGUAUGGUCCAUACCCACGUGCAAGU